CGAAACUUCGUGCUUGCAAAAAUAAAACAACUGCUCUGCUUUGUAAAAAGCCAACUGAUAUUCAAAACAAGUUGAUAUUAUGGGCUAUCUCUAAUGCCAGGAAAAAUCGAUUUACAAGUAUGCAAUGUCAUAAUGAACUGAAGUUAGAACUGCUAAAACGAAUAGCGGAUAAAAUUCAGAAAAGGGAGGACAAAGACCGCAGAAAGGUAGAAAAAAUAUUAAAAAGUUGCAUGCCCGAUCAGGUAAAAGAAAUGUUUCCUGACCUAGAAAAUAACGAGGCCUCAGAUAUUGAAGAAAUUCUUAUUGGAGCUGCUAUUGGAAGAAGUAUUUGCCACAUGAGGUUCGAUAAUGCCAAUAACACCCAUGAGGUAUAUUACGGCAGAAUUGUUUGCAUUAAAAAGAAGAACAAUGAUAUAUAUAUAUAUAUAGUUUCUUAUUGGAAACCAAAAGAAAAUGAAGAUGAUGACGGUGUUGAGUAUGAUAUGAGCAAAUAUCAACUUUCUGCAGACAUAAUAAGCGGUGAUAUGGUGAUAACAUAACAGAAUUGUGUAAUAAUAAGGUAGUCGGGUAGUUACCGACAUCCAACAACCAGGGUUGACCUGGUGCAACGUGCUAUGGGAAACCAAAGCUCAUUUACUUUUUGACAUAAGCAAAUGCUUGGCUUAUGACAAUUAAUGUUUAUCAUUGAUGUUUAUCAUUAUCAAUGAUGGCAAUGCAUUUUUUUAUCAAGUAUAACAGAGUUUCGCUUGCGUGCAUUGAGAGAUGUUAAACAGUAUUGAAGGGUCGGCUAUCGAUUUUUUUGUUUGGUAAUGGGAAGUUUGUUGUGUAUCAGGAGUUAAGUGAUUUUGAAUUUUUUAACUUAAUAAAUCAUUCUCAUAUUUAGUAAUCUCUAAUGGGUUUUUCAGUUAUGGUGCUAAAUAUCUAAUGCAUUUUUAUUUAUUUUUUAUUGCAAGGUUUUAACAAUAAUGGCAAUUUGCUACUGUGGAUAUUCAUGUUAAAGACCUCAAGAUUAUAUUUAUUAAUUCAGUUAAACAACAUGAUGAAAACUACAUGGUUGCUUCAGUGGAUGUUGAUCUUUUUCAUAUCAAGAUUAAACCGAUAUUAUUGGAUGUGGUUUCCUUUGCGUACUAAAGAAUCGACUCUUUCUAUCUAUGGAUGUCACAGUUUUGUUUGCUUCAAAAUCUAGGCUUUUUUCAAAGCCACAAUUCUGUUAAAAACAUU
rnacentral:lncRNA from 1 species